CCUGGCUCCCAGGGAGAGGCACAGCGUCGGUCAGCAGACAAAUGGACACCCUCCCCGUCAUAACCCGCCAGGCACUGCCGGAGGGAGUGAACACGUGGCCUGGCACAUCUGGGCAUUUCCAACUGUUGGACGCAGGGUUCUUCCAGCAUGCCCGUUUUAGAAACCCCACUAUGAGGUUCGCCUGCGGUGGUGCGAACCCCAGGCUCACUCGUCGCUCUGACUGAAAGCCAGGGAGAAAACAGGAAGAAAGAAGCUGGGAAUGCCCACAGGCAGAGGGAAGGUGCCAGGGCCUGGCGGCCGGGAGAGGCCUCCCCGUGUGAUUCCAGUGGCCGCCAGGCAGUUCAGAGUGUUCAAGUGCACAGAGAUGAAUGGAACCAUUUCUGCCCUCCGGAGCUUGGGAGUUGAGCAUGAGCUGUGUCAUGGGUGGCAAACUGCAUGUGCAGUCAGGGAGGGCUUCCUGGAAGAGGUCACCCGGCUCCCGGCUGGCCCCUGAAUGGCUGUCGCUGCCGGAAUGACUGCCCGAGUCCGAGACCCUGCUCAGGUCGCUGUUCUGGGAGGAAUUCUGAGAGCUGGGGCCGCUGUCCAGCUCAUCCCAGCCCCCUCCGGCCUGCCCAGGCUGAUGCCUCACAGCUGGAGGAAACAGGACAGCCGGUGAGAUCCCUGGGGCUUCAGGCCAGCCCCAUGCCCACCUCCCGGGGCCCUGGACCAGGAGGCCUCGGGGGCUGAGUCCUGAGCUGAGGAUGGGUGGCCACCUUGGCUCCAGCUUCAGCAAACACCAGCCCCAUGGGCAUGUGCUUCCGCCGCGGGUCCCACCC
rnacentral:lncRNA from 1 species